UACGGAUGGGGCUAGCGUUAUUCGGAAUUACUGGGCGUAAAGCGCACGUAGGCGGAUUAGAAAGUCAGAGGUGAAAUCCCAGGGCUCAACCUUGGAACUGCCUUUGAAACUCCUAGUCUUGAGAUCGUGAGAGGUGAGUGGAAUUCCGAGUGUAGAGGUGAAAUUCGUAGAUAUUCGGAGGAACACCAGUGGCGAAGGCGGCUCACUGGCACGAUACUGACGCUGAGGUGCGAAAGCGUGGGGAGCGAACAGG
rnacentral:rRNA from 1 species